rnacentral:rRNA from 1 species
CACGCCCUAAACGAUGCGAACUAGGUGUUGGGGAAGGAGACUUUCUUAGUACCGCAGCUAACGCGUGAAGUUCGCCGCCUGGGGAGUACGGUCGCAAGACUGAAACUCAAAGGAAUUGACGGGGGCCCGCACAAGCGGUGGAGUAUGUGGUUUAAUUCGAUGCAACGCGAAGAACCUUACCUGGCCUUGACAUGUCCGGAAUCCUGCAGAGAUGCGGGAGUGCCUUCGGGAAUCGGAACACAGGUGC